AGUUUGAUCCUGGCUCAGAUUGAACGCUGGCGGCAUGCCUAACACAUGCAAGUCGAACGGUAGCAGGCCUUCGGGCGCUGACGAGUGGCGGACGGGUGAGGAAUACAUAGGAAUCUGCCUUUUAGUGGGGGAUAACCCGGAGAAAUCCGGGCUAAUACCGCAUAAGCACUACGGUGGAAAGCAGGGGAUCGCAAGACCUUGCGCUAAUAGAUGAGCCUAUGUCUGAUUAGCUAGUUGGUGGGGUAAAGGCCUACCAAGGCGACGAUCAGUAGCUGGUCUGAGAGGACGACCAGCCACACUGGGACUGAGACACGGCCCAGACUCCUACGGGAGGCAGCAGUGGGGAAUAUUGGACAAUGGGGGCAACCCUGAUCCAGCAAUGCCGCGUGUGUGAAGAAGGCCUUCGGGUUGUAAAGCACUUUCAGCAGGGAGGAAAAGCUUGAGGCUAAUAUCCUUGAGUCUUGACGUUACUUGCAGAAGAAGCACCGGCUAACUCUGUGCCAGCAGCCGCGGUAAUACAGAGGGUGCAAGCGUUAAUCGGAAUUACUGGGCGUAAAGCGCGCGUAGGUGGUUUGAUAAGUCGGAUGUGAAAUCCCCGGGCUUAACCUGGGAACUGCAUUCGAAACUGUCUGGCUAGAGUUUGAGAGAGGGAAGUGGAAUUCCACAUGUAGCGGUGAAAUGCGUAGAUAUGUGGAGGAACAUCAGUGGCGAAGGCGGCUUCCUGGCUUAAAACUGACACUGUGGCGCGAAAGCGUGGGUAGCAAACAGGAUUAGAUACCCUGGUAGUCCACGCCGUAAACGAUGAGAACUAGACGUUGGGAGGUUUAACCUUUUAGUGUCGCAGCUAACGCAAUAAGUUCUCCGCCUGGGGAGUACGGCCGCAAGGCUAAAACUCAAAUGAAUUGACGGGGGCCCGCACAAGCGGUGGAGCAUGUGGUUUAAUUCGAUGCAACGCGAAAAACCUUACCUGCUCUUGACAUCUAUGGAAUCCUGCAGAGAUGCGGGAGUGCCUUCGGGAACCAUAAGACAGGUGCUGCAUGGCUGUCGUCAGCUCGUG
rnacentral:rRNA from 1 species